rnacentral:rRNA from 1 species
GAUGAACGCUGGCGGCGUGCCUAAUACAUGCAAGUCGAGCGAACAGACGAGGAGCUUGCUCCUCUGACGUUAGCGGCGGACGGGUGAGUAACACGUGGAUAACCUACCUAUAAGACUGGGAUAACUUCGGGAAACCGGAGCUAAUACCGGAUAACAUGUUGAACCGCAUGGUUCAACAGUGAAAGACGGUCUUGCUGUCACUUAUAGAUGGAUCCGCGCCGCAUUAGCUAGUUGGUAAGGUAACGGCUUACCAAGGCAACGAUGCGUAGCCGACCUGAGAGGGUGAUCGGCCACACUGGAACUGAGACACGGUCCAGACUCCUACGGGAGGCAGCAGUAGGGAAUCUUCCGCAAUGGGCGAAAGCCUGACGGAGCAGCGCCGCGUGAGUGAAGAAGGUCUUCGGAUCGUAAAGCUCUGUUAUUAGGGAAGAACAAAUGUGUAAGUAACUAUGCACGUCUUGACGGUACCUAAUCAGAAAGCCACGGCUAACUACGUG